GACGAACGCUGGCGGCGUGCUUAACACAUGCAAGUCGAACGGUAAGGCCCUUCGGGGUACACGAGUGGCGAACGGGUGAGUAACACGUGGGAGAUCUGCCCUGCACUUCGGGAUAAGCCUGGGAAACUGGGUCUAAUACCGGAUAGGACCCUGGGAUGCAUGUCCUGGGGUGGAAAGCUUUUGCGGAGUGGGAUGGGCCCGCGGCCUAUCAGCUUGUUGGUGGGGUGAUGGCCUACCAAGGCGACGACGGGUAGCCGGGCUGAGAGGGUGACCGGCCACACUGGGACUGAGAUACGGCCCAGACUCCUACGGGAGGCAGCAGUGUGGAAUAUUGCACAAUGGGCGCAAGCCUGAUGCAGCGACGCCGCGUGAGGGAUGACGGCCUUCGGGUUGUAAACCUCUUUCAGCACCGACGAAGCGCAAGUGACGGUAGGUGCAGAAGAAGGACCGGCCAACUACGUGCCAGCAGCCGCAGUAA
rnacentral:rRNA from 1 species